GUCCACGCCGUAAACGAUGAUUACUAGAUGUGUGCGAUACACUGCACGCGUCUUAGCGAAAGUGAUAAGUAAUCCACCUGGGGAGUGCGGUCGCAAGACUGAAACUCAAAGGAAUUGACGGGGGCCCGCACAAGCGGAGGAGCAUGUGGUUUAAUUCGAUGAUACGCGAGGAACCUUACCUGGGCUUGAAAGUUAGCGACUGAUCGGGAAACCGGUCAUCCCUUCGGGGCGCGAAACUAGGUGCUGCAUGGCUGUCGU
rnacentral:rRNA from 1 species